rnacentral:rRNA from 1 species
UACGAGGGGUGCAAGCGUUAUUCGGAAUUAUUGGGCGUAAAGGGUGCGUAGGCGGCACAUUAAGUCAACUGUUAAAUUCCUCGGCCUAACCGAGGGUCUGCGGUAGAUACUGAUGUGCUAGAGGGUGGAAGAGAGAAGUGGAAUUCUCGGAGUAGCGGUAAAAUGCGUAGAUCUCGAGAGGAACACCAAUGGCGAAGGCAGCUUCUUGGUCCAUACCUGACGCUGAGGCACGAAAGCGUGGGGAGCAAACAGG